CAUCGCAAGCCUCCCCCGCCCCUCCUUUGGCCGCUGGAGCCGCCGUGGCCGCGUGCCCAAGUUCGCCUGAAGCCUCACCCGCCGGCUUUGGAGCUGCUCUUGCCCCGGUCCUCCCCAACGCCCAAGAUGCCUCUGGACGGGUGCGGCACUCCUCCAUGACCCCGACGGUGGCUCGCCUUGACAAGAGACGGCCGGAGCCGCCGGGGUCUUGCCAUCUGCGCUCGGCGAGAGCCGCCUCCGUCGUCGUGUUCCACCCUCCCCGCGCCUGUCCGAAACCCUCUCUGGAUGCGGUACUCGCCGGUGUGCCCUCCUGACCCCUCGCCGACCGGAGUAGCUUGCCGGAGCAGCUGCUUCCGUCGCCGGCCGAUCGCCCCUGUCCUCCUCUGUUCUUCGUGUCGGGAGGAGGAACAAGGAGCGAGAGGAGAGAGAGAGAUCCCGUGGACCCCAUGUCUCAGUCGGCUGAAGUGGUUAUAUUGUGAACCUUCACUGUUUAGCCCCUUUUCUGUCUAAAAAGUGAACGGCCACAACUUUUUACUCGCAACUCCGGUUGAGCCCCCUCCGGGAGAGAAACAUUUCCGUCGAUUCGUUCUGCGAGCUUUCCGCACUUCUCCCCGGUGCAUUCUUGAUCCCCAGGGAAGCCACAACCACCAUUUGCAUGAUAGCCAUGCAGUAGCAUUGGUUUUCAACUUGAAUCUUUAAUAACUGUCUAUUUAUUUUGCUACUGCUAUCGUUAUUUCGGUUAUGCUUAUGUAUCUGUGGUUACCAUCAUGCUCACUCUGUUAUCAUGUUCUACCUGCUAGUAUUUCUUUCAUAUGUUCAUACUUGCUAGUAGUACAUGUUGGCUUGGUCAUGUUCUUCGGUGCAUGACUAUUGUCGGUUACCGAGUAUCGUUGAAAUGCGUGUUUCUUUGUUGUUAGUUGGUUAAGUGCCUACUUGGUAUUGUUCUUGAUGUGUUCUCGCAUGGUAUUCAUGUUGAUGUUAGUGGUCAUGUUAUGCUAUGAGUAGUGUUAUACUUGUGAUAUUCAUGCUCGUCAUUAUGCCAUGCUCAUGUGGAUACGAUCUAUGGUUGUUCAUCUAGUUAAUAGUUAUGAUGCACCCCAUGCUUAUGAUGAUAUCAUGUUCAUGCUUUAUAAUUGCAUCAUGUUAUUUUAUUAUGGCUCAGCUCAUUUCAAUCAAGUUUUAACCGGACUUAAAUGAACUUGAACAACUGUUGGCUGAGUCAUGUUGCCACCAUAUUGAUGUGGAGCAUCCUACGGUCAUCCCCAUGGACCUACCAUCAUCUCACCAAGCACCAAGAGGACCCAU